rnacentral:rRNA from 1 species
GAUGAACGCUAGCGGCAGGCUUAACACAUGCAAGUCGAGGGGCAGCGCGGGAUAGCAAUAUCCUGGCGGCGACCGGCGGAAGGGUGCGUAACGCGUGAGCGACAUGCCCGUUGCCCGGGGACAACCGGUGGAAACGCCGACUAAUCCCCGAUGGGAUAUUGUGCCGCAUGGCACGAUAUUGAAAGUUACGGCGGCGACGGAUUGGCUCGCGUCCGAUUAGCUGGUUGGCGGGGUAACGGCCCACCAAGGCUGCGAUCGGUAGGGGUUCUGAGAGGAAGGCCCCCCACAAUGGGACUGAGACACGGCCCAUACUCCUACGGGAGGCGGCAGUGAGGAAUAUUGGUCAAUGGGCGGAAGCCUGAACCAGCCAUGCCGCGUGCGGGAAGGAGGCCCUAUGGGCUGUGAACCGCUUUUGCCUGGGGGCAAUAAGGGCGUCGCGCACGUCCGAUGAGAGUACCAGGCGAAUAAGCAUCGGCUAACUCCGUG